GAGGGCUGGCUGGGCCUUCCCACCAACCCCCACUGGGCAGCUGACCUUGGAGGCCCUGAUCCUGUGAGGCCCACCCUUGAGCAGGGUCUCAGCUCCUGCCAUCUCCUGGGACAUUGCUGUUGUAGAGCUGGGGCCACAGAGUCCUCAGGCCACAGUCUCAUCAGGAACAAGGUCAGGGUCUGGGCUUAUUCAGAACAAGGAUUCCAGGCAAUGUACUACAGGACCCUGCAGCACCUCUUUGCUUCUAGCUUCUCCAGAAUGUUUGAGGAGAAUAUGAAACAUAUUUCCACGUGGCGAGAUUCCUGCCGGAUAGGAGGUCCCUAGGCUCAGCCUGGUAGAACCCUGUUCUUCCCCUACUGGGAAAAAAAGGUUCGUUCAUUGACUCCUUCACUGUUCAACAACAGCUCACUGAGAACCUACUCAGGGACACACCUCAGGCAGGAACCUGGGAUGCUAGGAUGGGCCAGGAACAGUCCUGCCCUCAAGGAGAUCACAGUCUGGGUCCACCGUGACCCCCACCCUCUCUAUCCCACAGACCCCUCCUAUAUCUGCCCGUGGACCCAGCAGUCUGGACUUUUGCCCCAACAGAUCUGUGGUCUAAUGAUGGGAGGAAAGGCUUACAAUCGAGAAAAACCUACCCAGAGCCUAGCCUUUCCCCUGCCCAUUGGGCGUGUCUGUUCCUGUCCCUGUCUGACACCUGGCUGUGAAGGACAUCGAAGUCAUUGGGUGACACUGGUCAGUUACCCCAGACGAAAGCGGAGACUUCCUUCAGUCAUCCCAGGCAAAGUGUUCAAACACGUGGGCUGAGAUGGGCCGACUGGUUCACAUCCCAGCUCUGCUUUGUGACUUCUAACCCCGAGAGCCUCAGUUUUCCCACUUGUGCAGUGGAGGUGAGAAUGAUUGAUCUUCACUGCUAUGCUGGGUGAAGGUUUAAGUGAACCACUCACUCUCAUUGAAGCAUGAGGACAAGAAUGUCGUGUAUGGUCAGUGCUCAGUAAAAGUUGCUUAUCUUCACUUAUUUCUGCUUCAGGUUGAGUCCUUAGCUUACAACGCAGGAGUGUCAUGAUGACCGAGUAUUAGCUCCCAGGUUAUAUGGUUGCACACACUCAGGGCCAACAAAACCAAAGGCAAAAACCAAUGGCAGGAGCAGCAAGAACGUGAGGAGACUAGAGAGUCAAGGGUGACCAGAGUCCAGCCCAGCGGAUUGUGUGUGCCCAGCUGCUCUGGGAUCGUCAGACAGGAGGAGAAUGCAAACCCCAAGACCUGGGUGAUGCUUCUCAGGUAUGGCUAGUCUGACACCUUUCUUUCUCUAUUUUUUAAGUUUUAAAUUUAGUUUAAAUUAUAUAGAUGAAAUUAUAUUUAAUGAUGUUGAUGAAAAUGGCAAUCAAAAAUCCCACAACAGCCUGGUAUGUUCAUAGAUCCAGUGACAUCUGAAUACACAUGUAGGUCACACCUGCUUCCUGCACAUGGAGCCCUGCUGAGCAAGGUGGAGCAUAGCUGCUGGGGGAUGGGAUCCCCACCCAGAGUUCUGGGCUCAUGAACAUCCAGGCACAUUUGAAAAGUUAAAUAUCAAGUUAAAAAGUAGAAGCGAGCCAUCAAAAUUGAAUAAGUGAGACAUUUAAGGGACAUAAUUUGGAGAUGAAAAAGAAGUGUUAAUUGAAGUAAAUUUUAUGUUAUAUGUAUAUUGU
rnacentral:lncRNA from 1 species